CCUACGGGAGGCUGCAGUGAGGAAUAUUGGUCAAUGGACGGAAGUCUGAACCAGCCAUGCCGCGUGCAGGAAGACGGCCCUAGGAUUUGUAAACUGCUUUUGUACAAGCGUAAACCUGAAUACGUGUAUUUAGCUGAACGUCCUGUACCAAUAAGGAACGCCUAACUACGUGCCAGCCGCCGCGGUAAUACGGAGGAUGCAAGCGUUAUCCGGAUUGAUUGGGGUUAAAGGGAGCGUAGGCGGGUGGUUAAGUCAGAUGUGAAAUGCCAGGGCUCAACUCGGGAACUGCCUAUCAUACUGUUGAUCUAGAGAGUAGGUGAGGUAGGCGGAAUGUAUGGUGUAGCGGUGAAAUGCUUAGAGAUCAUGAAGAACACCGAUUGCGAAGGCAGCUUACUGAUCUAUAACUGACGUUGAGGCACGAAAGCGUGGGGAGCAAACAGGAUUAGAUACCCGUGUAGUC
rnacentral:rRNA from 1 species